CUUCACGCUAUUGAUGGUAUCCUGUCGCAAGAGACGGCGGGGAUAGAGUCCAAAUGACAACAUGUGAACAGGAUACAUAAGCUCAGCGACGCCUGCGUGCUCUUCGACACAAUUCAUCGGGGUGGAGCUCAAAACGAUUGCCCUGACCCCAAAGAACUAAUAGGUGAGAGUUCAGAACACGAGCCUGCUAUCAAAUCUAUUUUGCCGGCUGGGUCACUUUGCACCCGGUGUGGCAAAUACAUCACUGGACAAAGUCUAUUGAAAGCCUCUUUCACAGAGAUGCUGCGAAAUUGUCUCAUGAGAAACUCGACAGAAUACCCAGCCUUGAUCUUGAUCUGCCAGUGGUGAGCUGUGCAUUUGGUAUUUGGUUAACCACACUUAAUCACCUCCUAACACAACACAGUUAGACGCAAUUCUAGAAACCAUCGAUACCAGACCAAAAUGCAAUAAAACUGUACAUCAUCUGGAGCGGUUAAGAAUCAACAUUUGUAGAAUACCUUGACAAAAAUAUAUUUCAAGAAAAGCUCAAUAAAAUACAUCACACUCACCAGAGAUGACAUUUAAAUGAAUUAUGAUGUGCGGAUGGCUACAGAGCUGUUUUGCUAGUUGAAAUUAGCUAAAAGAAGUUUUGAUCUGACCAACCAAUCAGAGGACGAAAAACUGCUGAUGUCAUCAGGGGCCAGCACUCUGGCCCUGUGAGGACGAAUUUGAAAUCUGAUUGUUAAAAAAAAAAA